CACGUAGGGGGCGAGCGUUGUCCGGAAUCAUUGGGCGUAAAGAGCUCGUAGGCGGCUCAGUAAGUCGGGUGUGAAACCCCAGGCUCAACCUGGGGACGCCACCCGAUACUGCUGUGGCUAGAGUCCAGUAGGGAGUGUGGAAUUCCCGGUGUAGCGGUGAAAUGCGCAGAUAGUCGGGAGGAACACCUGUGGCGAAGGCGGCUUUCUGGGCCUUACCUGACGCUGAGACGCGAAAGCGUGGGGAGCGAACCGG
rnacentral:rRNA from 1 species